AGCGCAGGUGGUUUAUUAAGUCUGGUGUAAAAGGCAGUGGCUCAACCAUUGUAUGCAUUGGAAACUGGUAGACUUGAGUGCAGGAGAGGAGAGUGGAAUUCCAUGUGUAGCGGUGAAAUGCGUAGAUAUAUGGAGGAACACCAGUGGCGAAGGCGACUUUCUGGACUGUAACUGACACUGAGGCUCGAAAGGCCAGGGUAGUGAACG
rnacentral:rRNA from 1 species